rnacentral:rRNA from 1 species
CCUGGGAACUGCGUUNUGAACUGGGUGACUAGAGUGUGUCAGAGGGAGGUAGAAUUCCACGUGUAGCAGUGAAAUGCGUAGAGAUGUGGAGGAAUACCGAUGGCGAAGGCAGCCUCCUGGGAUAACACUGACGUUCAUGCCCGAAAGCGUGGGUAGCAAACAGGAUUAGAUACCCUGGUAGUCCACGCCCUAAACGAUGUCGAUUAGCUGUUGGGCAGCAUGACUGCUUAGUAGCGAAGCUAACGCGUGAAAUCGACCGCCUGGGGAGUACGGUCGCAAGAUUAAAACUCAAAGGAAUUGACGGGGACCCGCACAAGCGGUGGAUGAUGUGGAUUAAUUCGAUGCAACGCGAAGAACCUUACCUGGUCUUGACAUGUACGGAACCCUCCAGAGACGGAGGGGUGCCUUCGGGAGCCGUAACACAGGUGCUGCAUGGCUGUCGUCGGCUCGUGUCGUGAGAUGUUGGGUUAAGUCCCGCAACGAGCGCAACCCUUGUCAUUAGUUGCCAUCAUUAAGUUGAGCACUCUAAUGAGACUGCCGGUGACAAGCCGGAGGAAGGUGGGGAUGACGUCAAGUCCUCAUGGCCCUUAUGACCAGGGCUUCACACGUCAUACAAUGGUCGGUACAGAGGGUAGCCAAGCCGCGAGGUGGAGCCAAUCUCACAAAACCGAUCGUAGUCCGGAUUGCACUCUGCAACUCGAGUGCAUGAAGUCGGAAUCGCUAGUAAUCGCAGGUCAGCAUACUGCGGUGAACACGUUCCCGGGUCUUGUACACACCGCCCGUCACACCAUGGGAGUGGGGGAUACCAGAAGUAGG